GACAACCCUGAAGUGUAGUCCACUGUUGUUAAACUGUUUUUUUCCCUUGGGAAGUGAAAAGGGAAUACAAUGGGGAGGAGGCUGUGGAAUUGAUGGUUAUUAGCAGUGCAGUUAAAGACUGGAGGAAGUGAAGGGAGACAGGAAAAGAACUGAGAAUUUCAGAGGAAUGAGACACUGGACAGCUGCCUGGGAUUGUAAAGAAACUGCUUUGUCAACAAAUAAACAUGGAUCCACAGUGUGAAAGGUGUGUAUAAUCUAACUAUCCCUGAAGCAAGAAAGAAAUUAAGAAAACUAUUGGUGCAACUUUCAUCUAGUUAUCCACAGUUAUAUUUUGUAUAAACAAUAAAGCCAUGCCGAACAA